GACGAACGCUGGCGGCGUGCUUAACACAUGCAAGUCGAACGAUGAAGCCUAGCUUGCUAGGUGGAUUAGUGGCGAACGGGUGAGUAAUACGUGAGUAACCUACCUUUAACUCUGGGAUAAGCCCGGGAAACUGGGUCUAAUACCGGAUACGACCAAUCUCCGCAUGGAGUGUUGGUGGAAAGCGUUAUGUAGUGGUUAUAGAUGGGCUCACGGCCUAUCAGCUUGUUGGUGAGGUAACGGCUCACCAAGGCGACGACGGGUAGCCGGCCUGAGAGGGUGACCGGCCACACUGGGACUGAGACACGGCCCAGACUCCUACGGGAGGCAGCAGUGGGGAAUAUUGCACAAUGGGCGCAAGCCUGAUGCAGCGACGCCGCGUGAGGGAUGACGGCCUUCGGGUUGUAAACCUCUGUUAGCAGGGAAGAAGAGAGAUUGACGGUACCUGCAGAGAAAGCGCCGGCUAACUACGUGCCAGCAGCCGCGGUAAUACGUAGGGCGCGAGCGUUGUCCGGAAUUAUUGGGCGUAAAGAGCUUGUAGGCGGUUUGUCGCGUCUGCUGUGAAAGGCCGGGGCUUAACUCCGUGUAUUGCAGUGGGUACGGGCAGACUAGAGUGCAGUAGGGGAGACUGGAAUUCCUGGUGUAGCGGUGGAAUGCGCAGAUAUCAGGAAGAACACCGAUGGCGAAGGCAGGUCUCUGGGCUGUAACUGACGCUGAGAAGCGAAAGCAUGGGAGCGAACAGG
rnacentral:rRNA from 1 species